rnacentral:rRNA from 1 species
ACUGCUCAGUAACACGUGGAUAACCUGCCCUAAGGAAGGGGAUAACCCCGGGAAACUGGGGAUAAUACCCUAUAGGUUACAGAUGCUGGAAUGCUCUGUAACCCAAAGCUCCGGCGCCUUAGGAUGGAUCUGCGGCCGAUUAGGUUGUUGUCGGGGUAACGGCCCAACAAGCCAGUAAUCGGUACGGGUUGUGGGAGCAAGAGCCCGGAGUUGGAUUCUGAGACACGAAUCCAGGCCCUACGGGGCGCAGCAGGCGCGAAAACUUUACAAUGCGGGCAACCGUGAUAAGGGAACCUCGAGUGCCUGUAUAUGCAGGCUGUCCAGGUGUCUAAAAAACACCUGAAGAAAGGGCCGGGCAAGACCGGUGCCAGCCGCCGCGGUAAUACCGGCGGCUCGAGUGGUGGCCACUUUUAUUGGGCUUAAAGCGUUCGUAGCUGGGUUGCUAAGUCUCUUGGGAAAUCCGACGGCUCAACCGUCGGGCGUCUAAGGGAUACUGGUAAUCUUGGAACCGGGAGAGGUGAGGGGUACUUCGGGGGUAGGAGUGAAAUCCUGUAAUCCUCGAGGGACCACCUGUGGCGAAGGCGCCUCACCAGAACGGCUUCGACAGUGAGGGACGAAAGCUGGGGGAGCAAACCGGAUUAGAUACCCGGGUAGUCCCAGCCGUAAACGAUGCGCGUUAGGUGUAUCGACGACCACGAGUCGUCGAGGUGCCGAAGGGAAACCGUGAAACGUGCCGCCUGGGAAGUACGGUCGCAAGGCUGAAACUUAAAGGAAUUGGCGGGGGAGCAC